AUUUCUCAUUAGGUCCAGCUGCUGACGAUUCCGGAGUUGAAAACCGUGCCCCUUAACCCACCAGCAGCUUGCACAGUGCAGGCCACUGAGACCCCUCCAUCAGUUUUCUAGAGGGUUUAACACUGCCUGGGCGAUUCACCAGGACUACCC